rnacentral:rRNA from 1 species
UACGGGGGGGGCAAGCGUUGUUCGGAAUUACUGGGCGUAAAGGGCUCGUAGGUGGCCAACUAAGUCAGACGUGAAAUCCCUCGGCUUAACCGGGGAACUGCGUCUGAUACUGGAUGGCUUGAGUUCGGGAGAGGGAUGCGGAAUUCCAGGUGUAGCGGUGAAAUGCGUAGAUAUCGUGAGGAAGACCAGUGGCGAAGGCGGGUCUCUGGACAGUUCCUGACGCUGAGGCACGAAGGCCAGGGGAGCAAACGGG